rnacentral:tRNA from 1 species
GAGGGUAUAGCUCAGUGGCAGAGCCUGCACUUAGCAUGCACAAGGUCCUGGGUUCAGUCCCCUGUACCCCCG